AGAUUGUUGAGUAGCUACAGGGGUGCCUCUGACUUAUAUCAGAAUCAAAUGAGAUAAAUCUGGGGUCACACGGUUUAUAUAACUGAGUUAAGAAACAUAUUCUACUGUAGAUGGGGUUUCUGGUGAGAUGCCCACUAAAUCACAGGUUAGUGCUGGGAAGAAAGAUCGGCCACAUCCGAAGGUCAUAGACACUCGGGUCUUAAGCACAAUUAAUUGCUAUGUUAACAUUCCCAUUCAAGAUCUCUCUAUAAAAGGGAUAUUAUCUCUAGAGGAGCAACCUCCACAUCAAAUAUUAGUUGUGAGGAUUUCUUGACUCUGAGCCUGGCAAGAGGCUUCAGCCAGACACUAGGUGAAGAGUGUCUUCCCCUUCCCACACCUCCUUGCAGUUCUGUGUUUCUACACUGAGUCACAGGACAGUGUAGACAGUCUGCUAUUCACAGGGCAGGGAUGCCAGGGUGGAAAGUAGCUGUCUGAAGAAGUUAUGGGUCAAAGAGUCCCAGAUCUUUGUGGAGUGACUGGGACAGGGGGAUAGCUGCCACUUAAAUAGCAAGGUCAGUGUUUCGUCAAGAGGUCCCUUCUACAGAGCCCCGGCCUCAUCCUUCACCUAUGUCUCUCUGAACAAUUGGGAACUAAAUGGCUGCUGCUGCAGGGCUUUGAUGUUUCUGACUCUCCCAAGACACCGGGACACUUCUCUAAACCAUCGCAAUCACCUCGACGUUGACCCAAAAGACACAGCCCAGUGAUUCUGGACUUCCUGAUCUGCUUUCAGGCUGCUGAAGGCCAGGACACUCAGAACCAUGUGACCAGACUUUUAUGUGCUCAAGACUGUUAAUCUCCUUAAUUGAAAUUGAUUGGCCUCCUGGGACCCAGCUCUGCCCUGGCCCUGAGCUUCAGCAGAGCAAGCAGUGAGCAACAAGCCAUCUCUCCAGCCCCAGUAACCAGAUGCUUUUCCGAGGGCAAAUGCUAACCAGAGCAGACUUGAGAAUGAAGAGCAAGAGGUCAGAGGA